GGACUACAAGGGUAUCUAAUCCCGUUCGCUCCCCUAGCUUUCGUCCCUCAGCGUCAGAAAAGCCCCAGUAAGCCGCUUUCGCCACCGGUGUUCCUGAUGAUAUCAACGCAUUUCACCGCUCCACCAUCAGUUCCGCUUACCUCUGACUCUCUCUAGCGAAGUAGUUUUAAGCGCUAUUCCUCAGUUGAGCUGAGGGAUUUCACGCCUAACUUUCUCCACCGCCUACGGACUCUGUAAGCCCAGUGAAUCCGAAUAACGUUCGGGUGGUACGUCUUACCGCGGCGGCUGGCAC
rnacentral:rRNA from 3 species